UCCCUGGUGGUCCAGUGGUUAGGGCGCGGUGCUUCCACUGCCGGGGGCCCAGGUUCAAUCCCUGGUCAGGGAA